CCUACGGGAGCUGCAGUGAGGAAUAUUGGUCAAUGGACGAGAGUCUGAACCAGCCAAGUAGCGUGACGGAUGACUGCCCUAUGGGUUGUAAACUUCUUUUAUAUGGGAAUAAAAUGUUCCACAUGUGGGAGUUUGUAUGUACCAGAUGAAUAAGGAUCGGCUAACUCCGUGCCAGCAGCCGCGGUAAUACGGAGGAUCCGAGCGUUAUCCGGAUUUAUUGGGUUUAAAGGGGGCGUAGGGGGGUUGUUAAGUCAGUUGUGAAAGUUUGCGGCUCAACCGUAAAAUUGCAGCGGAAACUGGCAGUCUUGAGUACACGAGAGGUGGGCGGAAUUCGUGGUGUAGCGGUGAAAUGCUUAGAUAUCACGAAGAACUCCGAUUGCGAAGGCAGCUCACUGGACUGCAACUGACACUGAGGCUCGAAAGUGUGGGUAUCAAACAGGAUUAGAUACCCGGGUAGUC
rnacentral:rRNA from 1 species